UGAGGAAUAUUGGUCAAUGGACGCAAGUCUGAACCAGCCAAGUAGCGUGCAGGAUGACGGCCCUAUGGGUUGUAAACUGCUUUUAUGCGGGGAUAAAGUGUGGGACGUGUCCCAUAUUGUAGGUACCGCAUGAAUAAGGACCGGCUAAUUCCGUGCCAGCAGCCGCGGUAAUACGGAAGGUCCGGGCGCUAUCCGGAUUUAUUGGGUUUAAAGGGAGCGUAGGCCGUAGGGUAAGCGUGUUGUGAAAUGCAGUUGCUCAACAUCUGCAUUGCAGCGCGAACUGUUCUCCUUGAGUGCGCAGGAAGUAGGCGGAAUUCGUCGUGUAGCGGUGAAAUGCUUAGAUAUGACGAAGAACUCCGAUUGGGAAGCCAGCUUACUGUAGCGCCACUGACGCUGAUGCUCGAAAGUGCGGGU
rnacentral:rRNA from 1 species